GAGUUCUGGAUUGUUAUUUAUGCAUGAGCGGGCUGCAGCACUUCUAGCCUUGUUUGCCUUCUCUAGCUCGUGUAGGUCUCUUAUUGUUGCUGCUAUCAAGUGCUCGAUUGGAUAUUGCUUACUUCAUGUCUGCUUUUUGUCGAUUGCUGGCUUGGAGAGUUGUAUGAAAAAUAAAUAAAAAAGUACAAGAUGAUAAUAAUGUUGUCUGAGUUGUAUCACUUAUGGGCAUGCAAAUAAUUGCAUCAUGUUGCACCUUGCUAUUUUCCAUUGUAGACCGAAGAUCCUGUUGGAAAUCCAGGUUGGGCAUGACUGAGCCAAGGAUCAGUGAACUUCAUAUGAUAAAGAAGCGGAAAAUUCUACGAGAUAUGACAUGCCCAGAAUUCUGCAGUGGUGCUGGAAAGAAAUGAAGAUCUCAGAAUUGCUUACAUUGAUGUUGUCGAGAGCAUUAGGAAUGGAAAGCCUAGCACUGAGUAUUACUUGAAGCUUGUUAAAUAUGACAUACAGGGAAAGGACAAGGAAUGAUGUUUCUAGCUAUACAACUAAAGAGGAAACACAGUAGAGAAGAUAAUGAGGUAGGUGAAUCAAAUGAUUGGAUGAUGUGCCCUGGGUAUGCUAUCCAUGCACCUCUGUGCAAACACCAUCUCCUUUCACUGAGCAAAGCCAA